rnacentral:rRNA from 1 species
UCUACCCAGUGGUGGGGGACAACAUGUGGAAACGCAUGCUAAUACCGCAUACGCCCUACGGGGAAAGCGGGGGACCUUCGGGCCUCGCGCCAUUGGAUGAGCCUGCGUAAGAUUAGCUAGUUGGUGGGGUAAAAGCCUACCAAGGCGACGAUCUUUAGCUGGUCUGAGAGGAUGAUCAGCCACACUGGGACUGAGAUACGGCCCAGACUCCUACGGGAGGCAGCAGUGGGGAAUAUUGCGCAAUGGUCGAAAGACUGACGCAGCGACGCCGCGUGUGGGAGGAAGCCUUUCGGGGUGUAAACCACUGUCAGAUGGGAAGAACCCUGUAUGUUCGAAUAGGGCAUGCAGCUGACGGUACCAUCAGAGGAAGCGCCGGCUAACUCCGUGCCAGCAGCCGCGGUAAGACGGAGGGCGCAAGGUUGUUCGGAAUUACUGGGCGUAAAGCGCGGGCAGGUGGUCUGUUAAGUCUUCUGUGAAACUCCGGGGCUCAACCCCGACAUGCAGGAGAUACUGGCAGACUGGAGACCGGUAGAGGCUAGCGGAAUUCCUGGUGUAGCGGUGGAAUGCGUAGAUAUCAGGAAGAACACCGGUGGCGAAGGGGCUACUGGGCCGGGUCUGACACUCAUCCGCGAAAGUGGGGAGCAAACAGGAUUAGAUACCCUGGUAGUCCACGCCGUAAACGAUGGGCACUAGGUGCGGGCCUAUAGACGGGUUCGGUGCCGGAGCUAACGCAUUAAGUGCCCCGCCUGGGGAGUACGGCCGCAAGUGAAACUCAAAGGAAUUGACGGGGGCCCG